rnacentral:rRNA from 1 species
UACAGGGGGUGCAAACGUUGCUCGGAAUUAUUGGGCGUAAAGCGCACGUAGGCGGUUCGUUAUGUCGGAUGUGAAAGCCCUUGGCUCAACUGAGGAAGUGCAUCCGAAACUGGCGAGCUAGAGUAUGUAAGAGGGUCGCGGAAUUCCCGGUGUAGAGGUGAAAUUCGUAGAUAUCGAGAGGAACACCGGUGGCGAAGGCGGCCUUCUGGACAGCAACUGACGCUGAGACGCGAAAGCGUGGGGAGCAAACAGG